UACAGGGGAUGCAAGCGUUAUCCGGAAUGAUUGGGCGUAAAGCGUCUGUAGGUGGUUUUGAAAGUCGAUUGUCAAAAACCAAGGCUUAACCUUGGGCCGGCAAUGGAAACUUCAAGACUAGAGUAUGGUAGAGGUAGAGGGAAUUACCGGUGUAACGGUGAAAUGUGCAGAUAUCGGUAAGAACACCAAAGGCGAAAGCACUCUACUGGGCCAAAACUGACACUCAGAGACGAAAGCUAGGGGAGCGAAUAGGAUUAGAAACCCCCGUAGUCC
rnacentral:rRNA from 1 species